UACGUAGGGUGCGAGCGUUGUCCGGAAUUAUUGGGCGUAAAGAGCUCGUAGGCGGUGUGUCGCGUCGGUCGUGAAAACCUGCAGCUUAACUGUGGGCUUGCGGUCGAUACGGGCAUCACUGGAGUUCGGCAGGGGAGACUGGAAUUCCUGGUGUAGCGGUGGAAUGCGCAGAUAUCAGGAGGAACGCCGGUGGCGAAGGCGGGUCUCUGGGCAGUAACUGACGCUUAGGAGCGAAAGCGUGGGGAGCGAACAGG
rnacentral:rRNA from 1 species